rnacentral:rRNA from 1 species
UGGCUAACUCCUACGGGAGGCAGCAGUGGGGAAUUUUGGACAAUGGGGGCAACCCUGAUCCAGCAAUGCCGCGUGAGUGAAGAAGGCCUUCGGGCUGUAAAGCUCUUUUGUCAGGGAAGAAACGGUGGUAGCUAAUACCUACUACUAAUGACGGUACCUGAAGAAUAAGCACCGGCUAACUACGUGCCAGCAGCCGCGGUAAUACGUAGGGUGCAAGCGUUAAUCGGAAUUACUGGGCGUAAAGCGUGCGCAGGCGGUUGUGUAAGACAGAUGUGAAAUCCCCGGGCUCAACCUGGGAAUUGCAUUUGUGACUGCACGGCUAGAGUGUGUCAGAGGGGGGUAGAAUUUCACGUGUAGCAGUGAAAUGCGUAGAUAUGUGGAGGAAUACCGAUGGCGAAGGCAGCCCCCUGGGAUAACACUGACGCUCAUGCACGAAAGCGUGGGGAGCAAACAGGAUUAGAAACCCGGGUAGUCCAGCUGG